CCUACGGGUGGCUACAGUGGGGAAUAUUGGACAAUGGGCGAAAGCCUGAUCCAGCCAUGCCGCGUGUGUGAAGAAGGCCUUCGGGUUGUAAAGCACUUUCAGUGGGGAAGAAAGCCUUGGGGCUAAUACCCUCGAGGAAGGACAUCACCCACAGAAGAAGCACCGGCUAACUCCGUGCCAGCAGCCGCGGUAAUACGGAGGGUGCGAGCGUUAAUCGGAAUUACUGGGCGUAAAGCGCGCGUAGGCGGUCUGAUAAGCCGGUUGUGAAAGCCCCGGGCUCAACCUGGGAACGGCAUCCGGAACUGUCAGGCUAGAGUGCAGGAGAGGAAGGUAGAAUUCCCGGUGUAGCGGUGAAAUGCGUAGAGAUCGGGAGGAAUACCAGUGGCGAAGGCGGCCUUCUGGACUGACACUGACGCUGAGGUGCGAAAGCGUGGGUAGCAAACAGGAUUAGAUACCCGAGUAGUC
rnacentral:rRNA from 1 species